rnacentral:rRNA from 1 species
CCCUUAGAUGUUCUGGGCCGCACGCGUGCUACACUGAGUAAAUCAAUGGGUAAGGGAACACGAAAGUGCAACCUAAUCUUGAAAUUUGCUCGUGAUGGGGAUCGACGGUUGCAAUUUUCCGUCGUGAACGAGGAAUACCUUGUAAGCGCGGGUCAUCAUCCCGCGCUGAAUACGUCCCUGCCCUUUGUACACACCGCCCGUCGCUCCUACCGAUUGAGUGGUCCGGUGAGGCUUUGGGAUCUGAGCGGAAAGAGCGUUUCGCUGUUUCUGCUCGGAAAACUCAGUCGAACCUUAUCAUUUAGAGGAAGGAGAAGUCGUAACA